AUUGAACGCUGGCGGCAUGCCUUACACAUGCAAGUCGAACGGCAGCACGGGAGCUUGCUCCUGGUGGCGAGUGGCGAACGGGUGAGUAAUACAUCGGAACGUACCCUGAAGUGGGGGAUAACGUAGCGAAAGUUACGCUAAUACCGCAUAUUCUGUGAGCAGGAAAGAGGGGGAUCGCAAGACCUCUUGCUUUAGGAGCGGCCGAUGUCGGAUUAGCUAGUUGGUGAGGUAAAGGCGUCACCAAGGCGACGAUCCGUAGCGGGUCUGAGAGGAUGAUCCGCCACACUGGGACUGAGACACGGCCCAGACUCCUACGGGAGGCAGCAGUGGGGAAUUUUGGGACAAUGGGCGCAAGCCUGAUCCAGCCAUGCCGCGUGAGUGAAGAAGGCC
rnacentral:rRNA from 1 species